rnacentral:rRNA from 1 species
UACGGAGGGGGCUAGCGUUAUUCGGAAUUACUGGGCGUAAGGCGUUCGUAGGCGGCUUUGUAAGUCAGAGGUGAAAGCCCACGGCUCAAUCGUGGAACUGCCUUUGAGACUGCUUCGCUUGAAGAUGGUAGAGGUUAGUGGAAUUCCGAGUGUAGAGGUGAAAUUCGUAGAUAUUCGGAAGAACACCAGUGGCGAAGGCAGCUAACUGGACCAUUCUUGACGCUGAGGAACGAAAGCGUGGGGAGCAAACAGG